GUAAUAGCAUUCCAGAGGGGACAGUUAUCAUCCAAAUGCAAUUCACAUUGUUUGGAUAAUUGUUGGGAUAACCAGGUGAAGUGAUUGGUUGACUGGUUGUUGUGGCAACAGCACUAAAUCCACAAGUUGAAGGUGAAAUUGGAAUUGCUGAAACAAAAUUCCU